CCUACGGGAGACAGCAGUGGGGAAUAUUGGGCAAUGGGCGCAAGCCUGACCCAGCAACGCCGCGUGAAGGAAGAAGGCUUUCGGGUUGUAAACUUCUUUUCUCAGGGACGAAGCAAGUGACGGUACCUGAGGAAUAAGCCACGGCUAACUACGUGCCAGCAGCCGCGGUAAUACGUAGGUGGCAAGCGUUAUCCGGAUUUACUGGGGGUAAAGGGCGUGUAGGCGGGAAAGCAAGUCAGAUGUGAAAACCAUGGGCUCAACCUGUGGCCUGCAUUUGAAACUGUUUUUCUUGAGUACUGGAGAGGCAGACGGAAUUCCUAGUGUAGCGGUGAAAUGCGUAGAGAUUAGGAGGAACACCAGUGGCGAAGGCGGUCUGCUGGACAGCAACUGACGCUGAGGCGCGAAAGCGUGGGGAGCAAACAGGAUUAGAUACCCCAGUAGUC
rnacentral:rRNA from 1 species